UACGUAGGGUGCGAGCGUUAAUCGGAAUUACUGGGCGUAAAGCGUGCGCAGGCGGCUUCGCAAGUCAGACGUGAAAUCCCCGGGCUUAACCGGGGAAUGGCGUUUGAAACUACGGAGCUGGAGUGUGGCAGAGGGAGGUAGAAUUCCACGUGUAGCGGUGAAAUGCGUAGAUAUGUGGAGGAAUACCGAUGGCGAAGGCAGCCUCCUGGGCCAACACUGACGCUCAUGCACGAAAGCGUGGGGAGCAAACAGG
rnacentral:rRNA from 1 species